CCUACGGGUGGCAGCAGUGAGGAAUAUUGGUCAAUGGCCGGAAGGCUGAACCAGCCAAGCCGCGUGAAGGACGAAGGUGCCAAGCAUUGUAAACUUCUUUUGUCAGGGGACAAAAUCAGGCUCGAGAGCCUGACCGAGGGUACUUGAAGAAAAAGCAUCGGCUAACUCCGUGCCAGCAGCCGCGGUAAUACGGAGGAUGCGAGCGUUCUCCGGAUUUAUUGGGUUUAAAGGGUGCGUAGGCGGACCGGUAAAUUCAGCGGUAAAGGCGCGGGGCUCAACCCCGGCGACCCGUUGAACCUGGCGGUCUAGAGAGGGCGAGAGGUAUGCGGAAUGCGCAGUGUAGCGGUGAAAUGCAUAGAUAUUGCGCAGAAAGCCGAUUGCGAAGGCAGCAUACCGGCGGCGAUCUGACGCUGAGGCACGAAAGCGUGGGUAUCGAACAGGAUUAGAUACCCGGGUAGUC
rnacentral:rRNA from 1 species